rnacentral:rRNA from 1 species
AAUGAACGCUGGCGGCAGGCUUAACACAUGCAAGUCGAGCGCCCCGCAAGGGGAGCGGCAGACGGGUGAGUAACGCGUGGAAACGUACCCUUUGCUACGGAAUAGCUCCGGGAAACUGGAAUUAAUACCGUAUGUGCCCUACGGGGGAAAGAUUUAUCGGCAAAGGAUCGGCCCGCGUUGGAUUAGCUAGUUGGUGGGGUAAUGGCCUACCAAGGCGACGAUCCAUAGCUGGUCUGAGAGGAUGAUCAGCCACAUUGGGACUGAGACACGGCCCAAACUCCUACGGGAGGCAGCAGUGGGGGAUAUUGGACAAUGGGGGCAACCCUGAUCCAGCCAUGCCGCGUGAGUGAUGAAGGCCUUAGGGUUGUAAAGCUCUUUCAUCGGGGAAGAUAAUGACGGUACCCGGAGAAGAAGCCCCGGCUAACUUCGUGCCAGCCGCCGCUGUAAAAC